rnacentral:rRNA from 1 species
AUUGAACGCUGGCGGCAGGCCUAACACAUGCAAGUCGAGCGGAUGGAGGUAGCUUGAUUCUGGAUUCAGCGGCGGACGGGUGAGUACUGCCUAGGAGUCUGCCUGGUAGUGGGGGAUAACGUCCGGAAACGGGCGCUAAUACCGCAUACGUCCUGAGGGUGCACGUGGGGGAUCUCCGGACUCCACGCUAUCAGAUGAGCCUAGGUUGGCUUAGCUAGUCGGUGGGGUGAAGGCCUUCCAAGGCGACGAUCCGUAACUGGUCUGAGAGGAUGAUCAGUCACACUGGAACAGAGACACGGGCCAGACUCCGACGGGAGGCAGCAGUGGGGAAUUUUGGACAAUGGGCGAGAGGCUGAUCCAGCCAUGCGGCGUGGGUGAAGAAGGUCUUCGGACGUGAAAGCAGUUGAAGUUGGGAGGGAGGACAGUAAGUUAAGACCUAGCUGUAAUGACGGUACCAGCAGAAUAAGCACCGGCUAACUUCGUG